UGGAAAGGGUGAGACAGCAUCCCAGGGCAUAUGUUUCAGUAACCAGGGGGGUUUGAAAAGACUUACUCUAGGAUUUGUGCUCUUGUUAGUUCAUUUUAAGGAGAGCUCAAGGAGGUAAGGGCUUGCUCUGGGUUGGAAGCUGUCAGGGAGCAGGGAUAAUUUUGUGUCUGGGGAUCUCAAGGACUCUUAUCUAGAAGGAGGGAGGACUAGAGUAAUAUUAAAGCCAUAAUUUAUAAAGAAGCAGCAGGCACUCCUGUUAGCCAAGUUAGGGCAUGUCUGGGUGGUCAUUUUUGUGGUUUGAACAGUGUUUUCGUCUGUGUUUGGACAUGAUUACAGAGUGGACUUGUUUCUGUCUUGAGCCAUUGUGGUCACAGGGACCUUGUCCGAUGUGUGUUCUGUGAAAUUCUUAGGUUCAAAAGGAGAAUGCCAAGGCCGGAUGUGAGUGCCCAGCAUCAGGGGCUUGUUUUUUUCUAUCUCACAGCCUUCCGUGAGGAGCAGAAUACUUAAAGAUCACAUGAGGUGACAGAUUGGAACUGUGGCUGGAAGGAGUGGGAGAGUGUUGUGCAGGAGGAGGGAUGGCAGGAAGCCAGGGGCAGGCUGCAGCCUGUAUCAGGAGUCAGACUGUGCCCUGGAAAGGAACGCAGGAAGCGCCUUUUCUUGAGCAAGCUGGAGGCAGUUUUGGAGAUCUCAAACAAAUGGGGAAGGCACAGAUAAAACUCAGGUGGAAAAAUUGUGCGAAAAUGCCAAAAAGAGAGAAGCCAAGGAUCGCGUCUACUUCCUAAUUCAGACAUACCACGGAUAUGUGUUACACUGACAAUGUACAAGCUGGAGCCUGAUUUACUAACAACAAGAACAUGUGGGUCUGAUCAGGAUCCCUUUAUUAUUCCAGAGGUGAGUAGAGAUGAUGUUAAUUUCCAGCUCUAAGUCUGUAAUACAUGUUAACAUUUUAAGGGUAACUACUAAAAGAAUAAAAAUAGGAGAUAUAACUUCCUAAAAAGUUGA
ensembl:lncRNA